GAGGUGUGGCUCUACUGUGAUCCUGUGGAGCUCUUCAGAGUCUGUUACAGAGCUCAGUUCAGCUGCAUUAGUGAACACACACAAUGGUGCUCCUCUCUGUUAUUCUGCUCUUUGUCUUUACAUGUGCUACGUGUGGAGAUGAAAUUAAACCAACCAAACCUGAAGAGUUUGCAGUUGAGGGUUUAAGUGUCACAUUAUCCUGCAGUUAUUCAUCUGCAUAUAAUCUUCAAUGGUACCGUCAAUAUCCCGGAUCAGCUCCUCAAUUCCUUGUGCUCAUCUCAGACGGUGCUAAAGCUCAGGAGUCUGAUGUAGAUUCCAGAUUCACUACUGAAAUCAGAAAAGAAAAAGAAAACCAUGUGUAUCUGAACAUCUCCUCUGCUGCAGUAUCAGACUCUGCUCUGUAUUACUGUGCUCUGAGGCCCACAGUCACAGGAAACACAAGAACACUGUACAAAAACCUUCUGCUCAGAGUGAGGAAUCGAUGGUCUACUACAGUUUGGGAGAAACGAGACUCUUGA